rnacentral:rRNA from 1 species
UGCGUAGGGUGCAAGCGUUGUCCGGAAUUAUUGGGCGAAGAGCUCGUAGGCGGUCUGUCGCGUCUGCUGUGAAAACCUAGGGCUUAACUCUGGGCGUGCAGUGGGUACGGGCAGACUAGAGUGCGGUAGGGGAGAUUGGAAUUCCUGGUGUAGCGGUGGAAUGCGCAGAUAUCAGGAGGAACACCGAUGGCGAAGGCAGAUCUCUGGGCCGUAACUGCGCUGAGGAGCGAAAGCGUGGGGAGCGAACAGGAU